GACAGAGGGUGCAAACGUUGCUCGGAAUCACUGGGCGUAAAGGGCGUGUAGGCGGGAAGGAAAGUCAGAUGUGAAAUCCCUGGGCUCAACCCGGGAACUGCAUUUGAAACUCCCUUUCUUGAGUGUCGGAGAGGAAAGCGGAAUUCCUGGUGUAGAGGUGAAAUUCGUAGAUAUCAGGAGGAACACCGGUGGCGAAGGCGGCUUUCUGGACGACAACUGACGCUGAGACGCGAAAGCGUGGGGAGCAAACAGG
rnacentral:rRNA from 1 species